rnacentral:misc_RNA from 1 species
UUUAAGGUGAAAUUGACACUUAAUGUUACACGUGGAGGAGGGGGCAAUAGUCAAUUUUAUCUUCUUGAUAUAGGAAGCUGUUGGAAGAACAAUGGAGAUCCAUGUGAUGGUGAUGUUGUAACAGAUGUGACUAGAUACAGUGAGAUGAUAAUUAACCCGGCAACUACAAGCUGGUGCCGUCCAGAUAAUUUAGUUUCCUGUCCGCCUUACCAUGUCAGUCCUUCCGGUGAAAUAAUUUACAGAAAUGAGACAUCUCGAUUUCCAUAUUCUGCUUACCAUCUGUAUUGCAGCCCAGGAAACGCAGAGUAUCUGGAGAAACCAUAUGAUAUCUGUGAUCCAUAUAGCAAUCCACAAGCUCAGGAAUUGGUACAGAUUCUACCACAUCCUGAAUGGGCUGUGCAUGGCUAUCCUGAAAAGAAAGGAGAUGGAUGGAUUGGUGACUCCAGGACUUGGGAGCUUGAUGUGGGGGCCCUUUCUAGUCGUUUAUACUUCUACCAGGAUCCUGGAACAAAACCAGCAAGGCGUGUAUGGUCUUCAAUUAAUGUUGGAACGGAAAUAUACGUUAGCAAGAUGGGUGAAACUGCUGAGUGGACUGU